AAAGGAUCGGUAAUAUAGGAAUAACCCAUGAUGAAUUUUAUGUUACUCAGAGGUCACCCAGGUUCUGAAGCGUGGGAAUAGCACCAUCUAUUGCACGGCUGCCCUUACCAUCGCAGAGUCGAACCUCACAACUUCCCCUGCAUGGCCUUCACAAAAGCUCUAUUCAGCACCUUGCAAGUGCAGUUUAGCAGUUGGGAAAAGAAGCGUGUUAGAGUAGUCUCAUCUUUGAAAGUCAAUAUCUGUCCACAAACCAUAGCGAUCAGAGUAUAUGAAAGGGAUGUACAAAUUUCAUAUCCGUGACUACAUAUGUUAUUUGUAUAGAAGCUUUUAACUUUUUUACUUUCUUUCAAGUGCCCCCUGAAGCAGGAGUUGGAUUUAAAGAGUUACUACAGACAGAUAAUGAACUCCAUAAUAGAGGAUCUAUCACUGGAGAAGCAGACCAGACAGAAAUAAUCCUUCUGUAGGCAUUUGGUAAAAUUAUACUAUAGUUACUGAAUUGGAGAAAACCUACUAAAGAAAACAUGGCUGGGUGGGGAAGAAUUAAGAGAAAAAGUUAUAAGCAUGUAAGAGAUGUAUCUGCACAUAACCAGGGCAAGAACUUGAUUUAGACUCUUGCAAAGAACUGGUAGUAUUUCACAAUGGCUACCUAAUAACAAUUUAAAAAAAAAAAAAAGGUGGUAAUGUAAUGACCCUUUGGAAGAUCAUGCAUUCGUGUGCCAAACAAAACUUUCACCAAGUUCAAAUCAGAAUUAACUCACAACUUAUGACCAGGGAAGCAUGGUAGUACAUUUUCUAGAAGGCAGAAGAGUAUGUAUGCACAACCCCUGUUUUUUUUCUUGAUCAAUCUUGUGAAAAUUUCCAAGUCAUUCUAAUGGUAGAUGAUGAUUAUAUUUUUUCAUCUGAUUGCUGUCCAACAGAAGUAAAAGUAGUGUAACAUGUUAGACUUAGCUCACUUAUUUUCAUGACAACAUAAAUGAUGUAUUUUUAAAGGCUGGAUAUCAUCAAUGAAAUAUCCAUUUUCUAAUUGUUCUCUGUGUAGCCAUCCCCCACCUGCUGAAAGACUGCAGGUAUGUAUGCAACUCAUGCAGGAGGGUGUUCUGGAGAAAGAUGUAAGUGCAAUAAUAAGCUUCCAUAAUAUUCUAGAGCCUCAAGUGGUUUGAAAUGACCAUAAAUUUCUUGACUGUCCAAGUAAGUAUUUUAGUUUACACUGGCUGAAGACCUUGAUUUUAAACAUGCUGACCCAGUUGUCUAACUUGAAUAAAUUACCAUAGCAAAUUGAAACCA
rnacentral:lncRNA from 1 species